rnacentral:rRNA from 1 species
GAUGAACGCUGGCGGCGUGCCUAAUACAUGCAAGUCGAGCGAACGGACGAGAAGCUUGCUUCUCUGAUGUUAUCGGCGGACGGGUGAGUAACACGUGGAUAACCUACCUAUAGGACUGGGAUAACUUCGGGAAACCGGAGCUAAUACCGGAUAAUAUUUUGAACCGCAUGGUUCAAAAGUGAAAGACGGUCUUGCUGUCACUUAUAGAUGGCUCCGCGGUGCAUUAGCUAGUUGGUAAGGUAACGGCUUACCAAGGCAACGAUGCAUAGCCGACCUGAAAGGGUGAUCGGCCACACUGGAAGUGAGACACGGCCCAGACACCUACGGGAGGCAGCAGUAGGGAAUCUUCCGCAAUGGGGGAAAGCCGGACGGUGGAACGCCGCGUGAGUGAUGAAGGUCUCCGGAUCGUAAAACUCUGUUAUUAGGAAAGAAGAAAUGUGUAAGUAACUGUGCACAUCUUGACGGUACCUAAACAGAAAGCCCCGGCUAACUACGUG